AAGACCUUGCGCUUUUGGAGCGGCCGAUGCCUGAUUAGCUUGUUGGUAAGGUAAAAGCUUACCAAGGCUUCGAUCAGUAGCUGGUCUGAGAGGACGACCAGCCACACUGGGACUGAGACACGGCCCAGACUCCUACGGGAGGCAGCAGUGGGGAAUUUUGGACAAUGGGGGCAACCCUGAUCCAGCCAUGCCGCGUGAGUGAAGAAGGCCUUCGGGUUGUAAAGCUCUUUCAGCCGGAACGAAACGGUUACGGAUAACACCCGUGACUACUGACGGUACCGGAAGAAGAAGCACCGGCUAACUACGUGCCAGCAGCCGCGGUAAUACGUAGGGUGCAAGCGUUAAUCGGAAUUACUGGGCGUAAAGCGUGCGCAGGUGGUUUUGUAAGUCAGAUGUGAAAGCCCCGGGCUCAACCUGGGAACU
rnacentral:rRNA from 1 species